rnacentral:rRNA from 1 species
GAUGAACGCUGGCGGCGUGCUUAACACAUGCAAGUCGAACGGAAAGGCCCAAGCUUGCUUGGGUACUCGAGUGGCGAACGGGUGAGUAACACGCGGGUGAUCUGCCCUGCACUUCGGGAUAAGCCUGGGGAACUGGGUCUAAUACCGGAUAGGACCACUUCUUGGAUGUUGUGGUGGAAAGUUUUUUCGGUGUGGGAUGAGCUCGCGGCCUAUCAGCUUGUUGGUGGGGUAAUGGCCUACCAAGGCGUCGACGGGUAGCCGGCCUGAGAGGGUGUACGGCCACAUUGGGACUGAGAUACGGCCCAGACUCCUACGGGAGGCAGCAGUGGGGAAUAUUGCACAAUGGGCGCAAGCCUGAUGCAGCGACGCCGCGUGGGGGAUGACGGCCUUCGGGUUGUAAACUCCUUUCGCUAGGGACGAAGCGUUUUGUGACGGUACCUGGAGAAGAAGCACCGGCUAACUACGUG